GCAAAGAAAGAAAUGAGAGAGGAUGACUUCAAUUAAGGCUACACGGUCCAGCAGGGCAUGGGAGAAGUAUUAUAUCUGGCAUUUAAUUGGGUGCUUCAAAAAUGGCUGCAACGUCCAACAACAAUGUUUUUCUUCACCCAGUGUUGAAGAGAAAAGUCUAGCAAAAUAAAAGGUGUAGCAAUUUGAAUCAUCUUGGGCUGCCACGUCCAUGUCCAGGGGUGCAUACAAUUGCGUCUGAGCGGUGCAGCAGAAAAUUCAGCCUUCUCACGGUCCACACAUGCUUCGCUCAUUUAUUUCACUCUUGGAAGAAAAGAAAGGGCAACCACCACAUGCAUAUACAUUGGGCUUGAAGAGACAGCAACUCCUUAAUUCUUCGAGCUUCCAGCUCUUCACAGAAGCAAGCAUCAUGCAUCUAGCAGCAUGUGAACCAGCCCACGGUCCAACCUCCAUAGCCAAUAUAGCAUCCAGCUUCACCAAGACAACAUCACGGCCCAAGGCAGCCUCCACCGUCCAGCAAAGGGCCAGUUGCAAACCACACAUUAGUCGAAUCACUUUCAACCCUCACACGGUCCAGCACCUACACGCGUGCAGCCUUGAAGGGGGUGCAACAAGUCCUACAUGAAGAACGGUCUAGCAGGCAACUUGGGAAGCAAAAUCCAGUAGCUUUCACACGGUCACGGCCAGCAAGAAUUUAAAAGCAGCAGCUUGGAGGGGCACAUGCUGCAACAGCUGAUUCCAUCUUGGGCUUGAAGGGAGCACAUCCAGCUUCUCACGUCCACAAGGAGCAAAGACGCAUCCAGUAGCUUGGAGGCAGCCCAUUCCUCUACACGAACAUUAAGCGUCCAGUAGAUUGUUGCAGCUUCAACUAUGCGACGUCUAACAGCUUCACAGAUCCAGCAACAUGUUUCUUCACGCAAGAGCUGGACCAGCAGCCCAUAUGCAAAAACAAAUUCCAACAGUAGCAGCUUCCAACUUCACGUCUUGGAGCAGUGAGAGGAGGCAGUGAUUAUUUUUGCUUAACUUUGCUUGAAGCAGCACGUGAUGGCCCAAAAAGAGAAAGCACAUGCAAGUGAAGAAAGAAGUCCAGUUGCCAACCAUGAAUGACCAAACGGCCCAACAUGUUUCUUCAUCCAAGCAACAAGCAAGUCCCCAAGCUUCAAGCAUCCAAGAAAGUCUAGCACGUCACAGCUGCAGCCACGUUGGCAGUAGAGGGCCCAUGGAGGAGGACACACAACCCUAGGGAGAUUCCUAGGACCAGCCGUCACAUAUAUUUUGAGGACCCUCUCUCUUGGCUGCAGAACGUUUUUGGAGAAAGUUGAAUGAUGUUGAAGGUGAUGGGCAUUGCUUAAAAGGAAUGAGCACUUGUCUUUUAGUUUUCUUUUUCUCGGUGAUGAAGAGAUGAUGAGGGAGACACGCCAGUUUUUUUUUUUUUUUACUUCAUGGAGGACAUUUAUCUUUCUUUAAAAUUGGAAAUGAGGCAUUGAUAUUAUUGAAGGAGGAGCUGUCACGGUCUUGAGUGUGCAGCAGACGGUGAUAUUCAUUUUGGAAUUGAGAAACAAAUUUUGUUGGAGAAAUGUGAUUGAGAGUUGAUAUAUGUAGUUGUUGUCAUGUUUAUAUUUUUUUUUUAUAUAUUCCACUUGUUGCCAUGAAUGAGUGUUGCUCUUUAGUUGUUGAAUUUCAUUGAUGACCGUGCUCCAUUUUGCUAAUUCAUCUCUCACAUUUAUUUUAUGUUCAGCGUUAAUUUUUUUUUUUGUUGCAAGCGUUGCUCAAUUUUCUUAGGCAGAGAAUGCGCUGAUUCCUUUCAUAAUGCGCUGAUUCCUUUCAUUUUGGAGAAAAAUGCAUGUUGCGUCCGUGAAUGGGAGAGCUCCCAAGGUUUUUUUUUUUUUAAUUUUGGAUGCUUAUCCAAUAUCUAACAUUUGUUUAUUAUAAUCCUAAUGUUGAAUGCUUAAUUUAAUUAUGAUAUUAGCUUAGGUUAGUCGGGUUAGAUGUUAAUGAAGUUACUUUGUUUUCUUGAGACUUUUGAACCUUAAUUGCCAUACUGUUGUUUUGAUUCUACUCAAUAUUUAAUCUGUUGUCUGCCUGUGAUUAGGUAUAUGCUUAGUUACCUAAUCGGUGUUUAAUCUUCACUUAGUUGAUUAGACUGUAUGGUGCAUGACUGAUUGAAUUUGUGCACUGCAUUCGCUUAGUUUGCAAUUUGAAGAGCGAAUUAGCCUUCGCUUAGUUGGGUGAUUUGUGUCAGAUUUAGAUUAGAGUAGUGUGUACUUGUCGUUAAUCUGUGAUUGGAAGCAUAGUAAUUGAGUUAAUGACCAACUGUUUUCACAUUCCGUUUUUACAUUUCUGUUUACCUUUCUAUUGCAUAUGUGUUUACAUUGUUGUUUGCAUUCGUGUUUUGGUUUUGUUUAUCCGCAUUCACAAACUUUUCAACAGCCCUCCCACUACGUGUUUGACCUAAUUCUCGAACCACAUUUGGUCCUUGAGAGAUGACCUAGGAGUCACUUCCUAGUCUAUACUGUAUUCUUUUAUUCACAUUAAAUUUUGCAUGGGGUGCGACACCAAUCAAAAUUUUGGCACCGUUACCGGGGACCAACGGUUCAGUUUUCGGUCUUUGUUGUGUUAGUGUGUGUUGUGUUUUGUCUCGUGUUGUGAGUGUAUCAUUUUGUUUGUGUGGUGUCAUGUGUUGUUGCAUUUAGGUAGCUUUAGUUGCAUUCUCCUUUUCCCCCUUUCUUUCUACAUGUCCACCUAUUUUGGUUAUCUGGAUACUACUUCUUUUGCCUAUGCCUAUGAUUAUGAUUAUACUCC
rnacentral:lncRNA from 1 species